rnacentral:lncRNA from 1 species
GUAAAUAUCAAACUCCUAGGGGUAACAGUGGAUAAAUAAAUAAGUUGUUUUCGGCAACUUUUAUGGUGUUUUACUAUCCCUAUGUUUGUUUAUUGACCGAGGGUUUAUUUAAUUCGCUUCUACAUGCGUUUAAUUGAAAGAACAAAAGAAUGGGUCAGCGACGCAUCCUGAGACGUCACAUUUUAAUCGACCGCUGAGGAAUGUUUGCAUACUUGGGGUUCGGGGCGUGAAACCGUGUGUGAAACAAAGUUGAACCUUUGCUUUGCCGACUUCAGUAUGAAUGGGAGUCGCCAACUUCAACUUUUCUUCAUGCAAGCUGUAUUCUCCUUGCCAUUAAUGGAGUCGGUGAAGAGAAGUAGGAUCUCCACUGCAGCUCCUUUUUCUUGAUUAACAUGUGGCUUGUUGCAGCACACUUCUCUUUGGCGGUUUGCAA